CCGGGGCUCGCUCUAUCAACGGCAAAAUCGCCGUUUCCCUCUCCAACUCCGGCGACAAAAGCUUCAAUUCCGGCCACCCUCGUCUUCCUCCGGCCAAACCGAGAACACCUCCGGCUUCCCUGCGUUGAGGCGCAUCCCCGACACCAACUCGCUCGUCCCGGUUCGCCCAAAAUCUCCAGAUCCGUGCUCAUCUGCAAGCUCCGCCAUGGCUGCACAAGUUCGUCCUCGCUACUGUUUGUUCAAGUUGCACCGUGGCCUUCACUUGACACGAUCGACCUGGUAACACAGUGAUCCAGCGCUUGAUGGGCCAUGGACCCAGAUCCUCCGACGAAGCCUGCCACCCCGUGCGUGCAGCUUCAAUCCGUCGCUGCUUGCAGGCCAUGUCCCGGCCCAGUUCUUCCCCGGCGCAGAACCAGGAUAGAUCGGCCCAUCACCCCUCUCUGCAUUUGCUUCUUCCCGGAUAGGAUCACGAAGUGGUGAUGUGAGAUAC